UGAGGUAACGGCUCACCAAGGCCAUGAUCCGUAGCUGGUCUGAGAGGAUGAUCAGCCACAUCGGGACUGAGACACGGCCCGAACUCCUACGGGAGGCAGCAGUGGGGAAUAUUGGACAAUGGGGGAAACCCUGAUCCAGCCAUGCCGCGUGUGUGAAGAAGGCCCUCGGGUUGUAAAGCACUUUCAGCGAGGAAGAACGCCUAGCGGUUAAUACCCGCUAGGAAAGACAUCACUCGCAGAAGAAGCACCGGCUAACUCCGUGCCAGCAGCCGCGGUAAUACGGAGGGUGCAAGCGUUAAUCGGAAUUACUGGGCGUAAAGCGCGCGUAGGUGGCUUGAUAAGCCGGUUGUGAAAGCCCCGGGCUCAACCUGGGAACGGCAUCCGGAACUGUCAAGCUAGAGUGCAGGAGAGGAAGGUAGAAUUCCCGGUGUAGCGGUGAAAUGCGUAGAGAUCGGGAGGAAUANCNNCANGUGGCGAAGGCGGCCUUCUGGACUGACACUGACACUGAGGUGCGAAAGCGUGGGUAGCAAACAGGAUUAGAUACCCUGGUAGUCCACGCCGUAAACGAUGUCGACCAGCCGUUGGGUGCCUAGCGCACUUUGUGGCGAAGUUAACGCGAUAAGUCGACCGCCUNGGGAGNACNGCCGCNCUGUUAAAACUCAAAUGAAUUGACGGGGGCCCGCACAAGCGGUGGAGCAUGUGGUUUAAUUCGAUGCAACGCGAAGAACCUUACCUACUCUUGACAUCCUGCGAAUUCGGUAGAGAUACCUUAGUGCCUUCGGGAACGCAGAGACAGGUGCUGCAUGGCUGUCGUCAGCUCGUGUUGUGAAAUGUUGGGUUAAGUCCCGUAACGAGCGCAACCCUUGUCCUUAUUUGCCAGCGCGUAAUGGCGGGAACUCUAAGGAGACUGCCGGUGACAAACCGGAGGAAGGUGGGGACGACGUCAAGUCAUCAUGGCCCUUACGAGUAGGGCUACACACGUGCUACAAUGGUCGGUACAAAGGGUUGCCAACUCGCGAGAGUGAGCCAAUCCCGAAAAGCCGAUCUCAGUCCGGAUCGGAGUCUGCAACUCGACUCCGUGAAGUCGGAAUCGCUAGUAAUCGUGGAUCAGAAUGCCACGGUGAAUACGUUCCCGGGCCUUGUACACACCGCCCGUCACACCAUGGGAGUGGACUGCACCAGAAGUGGUUAGCCUAACGCAAGAGGGCGAUCACCACGGUGUGGUUCAUGACUGGGGUGAAGUCGUAACAAGG
rnacentral:rRNA from 1 species